GAUGAUAAAUUGUCUUGUAUAAUAUGUAGAUUUUCAAUGUGGCUUGUUUUUGAGUUUAAUUGAUGUUGACUUAUCGAUAAGAAACCAGUUAAAGCAACGACACCGUUGACAGCCACACUUGGUCCACCAGUGGCAGUGAAGUCCUUAAAAACAUUUGGACCAAAAUUGUGAUAUAUUACCAUCCCCAAAAGACCACAAAAACACAAAAAGCCAAAUAUUCGUCGUAUAUUCAUGCUGCAUUCAUUUGUUAUUUGGUACAAUCCACACUGGAUAUUAUUCAAUGUAUAAAAUGUCCCCAAUUUCGAUUUGAUCCUGUUUCGAAAACCCUUCGGUCCAUUAAGUAAAUAGCUUGUAGUAAUAUCUCAAGUUCAAGUUAAGAUUAUAGCAUAUUCCAAGGGUUUUUGUAGCAAGUACACUUUACAGAUACCAAAUGUAAACAUGGCAGAAUACAUUUACUGAUUUAGUACUGCUGUAUGACCGCUUGAUUAUACGUGUAUUAACGUAUUGUGU